GGUGAUGACGACUUCAGGUGACUGAGUGUCUCGCUGAUGCCAACCACCGCAGCGCGCUGACC
rnacentral:snoRNA from 1 species